rnacentral:misc_RNA from 1 species
GUUGAAGAACGUAGUGAAAUGCGAUACUUGGUGUGAAUUGCAGAAUCCCGUGAACCAUCGAGUCUUUGAACGCAAGUUGCGCCCGAAGCCAUCCGGCCGAGGGCACGUCUGCCUGGGCGUCACACACCGUUGACCCCCCAAACCCCGUCGGGGAAGAAGGGGGGCGGAUGCUGGCCUCCCGUGAGCCUCGCCUCGCGGCUGGCCCAAAUGCGAGAUCUCUGCUGCGAGCGUCGCGGCGAUGGUGGUUGUCGAAUAACUCGGUGCCCCGUAGCGAACGCCCCCAGCGUGCUGUCUCGGAAUGACCCCUGCGCGCGGCCUCGCGCCGCGCUUCCAACGCGACCCCAGGUCAGGCGGGGCUACCCGCUGAAUUUAAGCAUAUCAAUAAGCGGAGGA